rnacentral:rRNA from 1 species
AGAGUUUGAUCAUGGCUCAGAUUGAACGCUGGCGGCAGGCCUAACACAUGCAAGUCGAGCGGUAACACAGAGAGCUUGCUCUCGGGUGACGAGCGGCGGACGGGUGAGUAAUGUCUGGGAAACUGCCUGAUGGAGGGGGAUAACUACUGGAAACGGUAGCUAAUACCGCAUAACGUCGCAAGACCAAAGUGGGGGACCUUCGGGCCUCAUGCCAUCAGAUGUGCCCAGAUGGGAUUAGCUAGUAGGUGGGGUAACGGCUCACCUAGGCGACGAUCCCUAGCUGGUCUGAGAGGAUGACCAGCCACACUGGAACUGAGACACGGUCCAGACUCCUACGGGAGGCAGCAGUGGGGAAUAUUGCACAAUGGGCGCAAGCCUGAUGCAGCCAUGCCGCGUGUGUGAAGAAGGCCUUCGGGUUGUAAAGCACUUUCAGCGGGGAGGAAGGCGGUGAGGUUAAUAACCUCACCGAUUGACGUUACCCGCAGAAGAAGCACCGGCUAACUCCGUGCCAGCAGCCGCGGUAAUACGGAGGGUGCAAGCGUUAAUCGGAAUUACUGGGCGUAAAGCGCACGCAGGCGGUCUGUCAAGUCGGAUGUGAAAUCCCCGGGCUCAACCUGGGAACUGCAUUCGAAACUGGCAGGCUAGAGUCUUGUAGAGGGGGGUAGAAUUCCAGGUGUAGCGGUGAAAUGCGUAGAGAUCUGGAGGAAUACCGGUGGCGAAGGCGGCCCCCUGGACAAAGACUGACGCUCAGGUGCGAAAGCGUGGGGAGCAAACAGGAUUAGAUACCCUGGUAGUCCACGCCGUAAACGAUGUCGAUUUGGAGGUUGUGCCCUUGAGGCGUGGCUUCCGGAGCUAACGCGUUAAAUCGACCGCCUGGGGAGUACGGCCGCAAGGUUAAAACUCAAAUGAAUUGACGGGGGCCCGCACAAGCGGUGGAGCAUGUGGUUUAAUUCGAUGCAACGCGAAGAACCUUACCUGGUCUUGACAUCCACAGAACUUNNNNNNNNNNNNNNNNNNNNNNNNNNNNNNNNNNNNNNNNNNNNNNNNNNNNNNNNNNNNNNNNNNNNNNGGCCGGGAACUCAAAGGAGACUGCCAGUGAUAAACUGGAGGAAGGUGGGGAUGACGUCAAGUCAUCAUGGCCCUUACGACCAGGGCUACACACGUGCUACAAUGGCAUAUACAAAGAGAAGCGACCUCGCGAGAGCAAGCGGACCUCAUAAAGUAUGUCGUAGUCCGGAUUGGAGUCUGCAACUCGACUCCAUGAAGUCGGAAUCGCUAGUAAUCGUAGAUCAGAAUGCUACGGUGAAUACGUUCCCGGGCCUUGUACACACCGCCCGUCACACCAUGGGAGUGGGUUGCAAAAGAAGUAGGUAGCUUAACCUUCGGGAGGGCGCUUACCACUUUGUGAUUCAUGACUGGGGUGAAGUCGUAACAAGGUAACCGUAGGGGAACCUGCGGUUGGAUCACCUCCUUACCUUAAAGAACCUGCCUUUGUAGUGCUCACACAGAUUGUCUGAUGAACGUAAAGAAGCAAGGCGUCUUGCGAUUGAGACUUCAGUGUCCCCUUCGUCUAGAGGCCCAGGACACCGCCCUUUCACGGCGGUAACAGGGGUUCGAAUCCCCUAGGGGACGCCACUUGCUGGUUCGUGAGUGAAAGACGCGUGCCGAACUAUCUCAAAACUCAUCUUCGGGUGAUGUUUGAGAUAUUUGCUCUUUAAAAAUCUGGAUCAAGCUGAAAAUUGAAACGACACACAGUNUUGGUGCCUUCGGGAACUGUGAGACAGGUGCUGCAUGGCUGUCGUCAGCUCGUGUUGUGAAAUGUUGGGUUAAGUCCCGCAACGAGCGCAACCCUUAUCCUUUGUUGCCAGCGGUUCGGCCGGGAACUCAAAGGAGACUGCCAGUGAUAAACUGGAGGAAGGUGGGGAUGACGUCAAGUCAUCAUGGCCCUUACGACCAGGGCUACACACGUGCUACAAUGGCAUAUACAAAGAGAAGCGACCUCGCGAGAGCAAGCGGACCUCAUAAAGUAUGUCGUAGUCCGGAUUGGAGUCUGCAACUCGACUCCAUGAAGUCGGAAUCGCUAGUAAUCGUAGAUCAGAAUGCUACGGUGAAUACGUUCCCGGGCCUUGUACACACCGCCCGUCACACCAUGGGAGUGGGUUGCAAAAGAAGUAGGUAGCUUAACCUUCGGGAGGGCGCUUACCACUUUGUGAUUCAUGACUGGGGUGAAGUCGUAACAAGGUAACCGUAGGGGAACCUGCGGUUGGAUCACCU